UAAGAUUAUAACCCUCGGCAUAUGUCAGACAUUUGUUUUUGUCUUCUGCCCAUGCUUUGUUCGUCUUUUGGUUAUUUCUUUCAUUAUUUAUUUUUUCUCAGCAUAGUGCUUGUUCAAUGAUUUGUUCUUUUUUCUCAGCAUAGUGCUUGUUCAAUGAUUUGUUCUGCAUUUUUGUUUUUUGUUUUUUGUGAUUUUUUCAUUUUCUUGUAAGAGUUUGUUUCUUUUUCCUGUAAGAAUUUGUCAACAGUGUGCACACUGGUCUGUCUGUGAUUUGAUCUGUUAUUUAUUUAUUUUUCACAUUUGUGUUUGUCCGUGAUUGUUAUCUAUGUUUUUUUUUAACAUUUUAUGUGGUGGAGGUUGAAGAGGCAAAGCAGAGGAACAGGUAGGGAUCAGGAAAUAGCAGCUGAAUGAGGGAAAAUUGUUCUUCUAGUCGUUCAUGCCACUGAAUGGAUUCAUUGGUGGGUCCAUUUCUCAAAGGAGACCUUGCUAAGAACUUCAUGACUCCUUCGGAACCUACUCAGAGGCAACUGACUACCGAGGAUCACUGAGCUGCAUCAUCACCAUAGGUCAUAUAUCUUAUGGAGACUAUUGUUGCAGAAUAGUACAGUAGUUUUUGUCGAUAUUUCUUGCUGCAAAUGCAAGAAUAAAGUUAUGAAGAUUGCUGCAGAUAUCCCAGGUUGCUUCCAGUGCACUAGGCCUGGGGCCUCACCAUGCUAUGCAAAUAACUGAGUGAUUAUACACACGAGGCUACAUAAGGAUGGCAGACAGCAAGCUCACAGCCCUUCUCUGCAUGUUGCAGCUAAAAAACUCCAGUUUGAUAAAAAUGGUCCUAAAGCGGGUUGCUCAACUUUUUGAAUUAGUUGUUUAUUCAACAUGAUGUAUAAAUAGCAAGGGAUGGGAUUAGGCUUGCACCAUUUUUUGAGUUAUAUUUUGAUCAAGCAUUGCCUUGGUAGCAUUGUAACAUGGACAAAUAUAGUGUUUAAUAAAAGAAAUUAUUGGAAGGGGUUUUUAACCCCCCUUCUAAAGACUGAAAGGAAUAAUCACUGGCCAUGGUUAUUCCUUGAGGUUAUGUGUUCUGACAACUUAAAGAAUGGUUGAUAGGCCAAAAACCAUUCUUUGAGGUUUGUGUCUUGUUUUCUUUUCUUCUUUUUUGAUUAGAUUAAUUUUUAUAUAAUAAUUUAUUAAUUUUGAUUUC